rnacentral:rRNA from 1 species
GAUGAACGCUGGCGGCGUGCCUAAUACAUGCAAGUCGAACGCACAGCGAAAGGUGCUUGCACCUUUCAAGUGAGUGGCGAACGGGUGAGUAACACGUGGAUAACCUACCUCAAGGUUGGGGAUAACAUUUGGAAACAGAUGCUAAUACCGAAUAAAACUUAGUAUCGCAUGAUACCAGGUUAAAAGGCGCUACGGCGUCACCUAGAGAUGGAUCCGCGGUGCAUUAGUUAGUUGGUGGGUAAAGGCUUACCAGACAAUGAUGCAUAGCCGAGUUGAGAGACUGAUCGGCCACAUUGGGACUGAGACA